AACUUUGUUCUUAAGGACGCUCACUCCAAUCUCCAUUAAAGUUAAGUAGUUAACGUCAAUCAGAAGCUGCGGUUUAUACGUAUCAGUUGUCAAGAAUCCAUCAUCGCGAAUAUUCGAUCAUCUCCAAAUUUCCAAUGGAAAGGCAUUGAUAAACAUGGAUUUCAUUGUUCAAAUAUUCCCAGCCAUUGUGAGAUUUUCUAGACUAAACAUGACUAAAAGGACUUGAGGGAAAAUGUCUUCUGCUGUGUCACCUCUCAAACGGAUCUUUCAACAUGGAUUUUUUUUUCCCCGUGUCCUGAACAAAGAAGAUGGGUGAGUACAAUUUUAAAAGUUUUGACAGUCUAGUUUGUAUUCAUUGAUUUUUAAAUAAAAAAUUUAAAUUGUAUUUGGUUUUUCUUGUCAAUUCUUUUUAAUCAAUCGUUAAUUUAUCGGAAUGUAAGAAUUUGCUUGUUAGUUAAGUGCUGACGUGCGCCGAUGUAAAUUACACGCGCCUCUUCUCGGAAUUCCCCAUUUUAUGUCAAUUUUGUCAAGUUAGGGUUCUUGGAAACGAGUAUAAGAAAAAGCUAGUACCGUGUCAUCAGAAUUUUAUUACCAGUACGUCUCCUGGUUAACAUAUUGUUAUUUAAAGAAGAAAAUAACACGACGGGUCAAAACAUACAAAAAGAAACGCAGGCAAAUUUGGUAAAAGUUAUUCGAAACGAGCCAUCAAAAGUA